AAUAGAUACCCGGGUAGUCCACGCCGUAAACGAUGGAUACUAGCUGUUUGAGCGCAAGUUUGAGUGGCUAAGCGAAAGUGAUAAGUAUCCCACCUGGGGAGUACGGGCGCAAGCCUGAAACUCAAAGGAAUUGACGGGGGGCCCGCACAAGCGGUGGAGCAUGUGGUUUAAUUCAAUGAUACGCGAGGAACCUUACCAGGGCUUAAAUGUAGAUUGACGUAUUUGGAAACAGAUAUUUCUUCGGACAAUUUACAAGGUGCUGCAUGGUUGUCGUCAGCUCGUGCCGUGAGGUGUCAGGUUAAGUCCUAUAACGAGCGCAACCCCUGUUGUUAGUUGCCAGCGAGUAAUUGUCGGGAACUCUAGCAAGACUGCCAGUGUAAACUGUGAGGAAGGUGGGGAUGACGUCAAAUCAUCACGGCCCUUACGUCCUGGGCCACACACGUGCUACAAUGGCCGGUACAGAGAGCAGCCACUUAGCGAUAAGGAGCGAAUCUAUAAAGCCGGUCACAGUUCGGAUCGGAGUCUGCAACG
rnacentral:rRNA from 1 species